UACGUAGGGCGCAAGCGUUGUCCGGAAUUAUUGGGCGUAAAGAGCUCGUAGGCGGCUUGUCACGUCGGGUGUGAAAGCCCGGGGCUUAACCCCGGGUCUGCAUUCGAUACGGGCUAGCUAGAGUGUGGUAGGGGAGAUCGGAAUUCCUGGUGUAGCGGUGAAAUGCGCAGAUAUCAGGAGGAACACCGGUGGCGAAGGCGGCUUCCUGGACCAAUACUGACACUAAAGUGCGAAAGCGUGGGGAGCAAACAGG
rnacentral:rRNA from 1 species